rnacentral:lncRNA from 1 species
AACUGGAUGGAAGAUGGUCUCUGAGGGCCCCCUCUCUUCCUAGUAGUCCAGACAGAUGCUUCUUGGACACUGUCUUGGUACUGAGCAAGACCAGCUCUCUCUUCCUGACGAUCAGAGAAGCGACGGUAUUAUAUGUCUCCGUAUGAUGGACAGCCUUAUGGGCCUCAGCUCCCACAUGGACCUACCGCAGAGUGAGCGAUAUAGGCUCAAAGAACAGCAGGCAGAAGAUGGGACUCCAAGCAACCAGGUAUCUUGGCUGGCACAUGGCUUCUGUUGUGGUUCAAUCUGAAGAGUUGGAAUGGAGAAGGAGCCAUCCACCCUCAGCGGGACCCUUUCUUUGGGGGACCUCCAGUCAAAGCUUCCCUGCAACUGUGUCGGCUGCUGACUUGGGUUCAAGGCUGAGUAUUGCCUGGCAGGCUCGGCAAGCCUCACCCUGCUUCCAUCAACACCCUGGGGCUCCCAGCCCCUCGAGUGGAGAAGCUUCGUGUCUGCAGGACGUUGGAAGACGAGGCUGAUCCUGAUGGAUUGUGUUGAGCUCUCAGUGGAUGUGUGAAGGAGUUUAUCCACAAGUCCCUCUUGCUGUGAGCUCUUUUUACAGACACGCUACAGUAACGAGCAGAACUACUCUAUUUAAAUAUGCAUGGAUGUGGAAGAAGGCCAAUUCCUUGCUCAGACAUACCAGCCCUGGCCAAGAUCCAGAACUGCAAGAUCGUUUUUUUUUUUUUUUUUUUUUUUUUUUU